UCUUUAGACAUCGCAUCAAUUGAAUGAACUAGGCAUCUUUAUUACCCCCAUUUAUGGAUGAGGAAACUGAGGCUCAGAAAGCUGUUUAACUUCCACAAAGCCACACAGCAAGUGUGUGGUUGAGCCGAGUUUGGAAUCCAUGUCUCUCUGAUAUCAAAGCUCCAGGCAUUUAAGUCAAGCAUCAGCUUCCAUGCAGCAGCUCUCCUCCCAGCUUUAUUCCAUCAGCUCAGCAGUUCUGAUGAUGACGCCUCUUUGACUCCACCUGUGGCGCAGCCUGCCUCCAGCCCUCUCCACUUAGCACUCCGUUCAUAUAGGACUCCUGUUGUCCUAAAGAUUUGGUCAGUCCUUCCAGCUCCCAUUAAUCUGGAUUCCUCCAGAGGGCACAGAUUCCUGCUGGCCAUAUUUCGGAUGUAAUUGGCUCCCCACUAAUCAGCUCUGUAAUCUGAGGCAAAGCCUCUCCAUCCUCCCAUUCUAGGACUCACAGUAACCUGUAUACUUCAUUCAAGCUUUGCUGAACUACAAGAAGAGCCAAUUACCUUCUGGCAGCCAUCUUGGAUGAUGAAGUAGCAACCUUGCAGGACGCAAGCCAUGGUCCAGGAUGGCGAGGCAUAAAGAAGGAAGAUGCCUGCAUUCGUGGUGGCAAUUCAGCACAGAAGCAAGAGGCAGAGACUAGCCAGAAGAAGAAUGGGAUGGAGAACUUGCUCUAUCAUCUAUCAAGACUCAUUACAGCGCUAUAGAUGUUAAGACAGUGAGGUACUGGUGCAAGGAUAGACAAGUAGACAAUGGUAAAAAAUGGAAAACCCAGACACAGAGACAUACAUAAAUGAUCACUUAAUUUAU
rnacentral:lncRNA from 1 species